GACGAACGCUGGCGGCGUGCUUAACACAUGCAAGUCGAACGGAAAGGCCCUGCUUUUGUGGGGUGCUCGAGUGGCGAACGGGUGUGUAACACGUGAGUAUCCUGCCCUUGACUUUGGGAUAACUUCAGGAAACUGGGGCUAAUACCGGAUUGGAGCUCCUGCUGCAUGGUGGGGGUUGGAAAGUUUAGGCGGUUGGGGAUGGACUUGCGGCUUAUCAGCUUGUUGGUGGGGGAGCGGCUUACCAAGGCUUUGGCGGGUAGCCGGCCUGAGAGGGUGACCGGGGUCAUGGCGACUGAGAUACGGCGCAGUCUGGUACGGUAGACAGUAGGGGGGAACCUGACACAAUGGGGCGGCGUGUGAUGCAACGGCGCUGGGAUUGUGAUGCCGGUCUUGUUGGUGUAAACGGCUUUAGGCUGUGACGAAGCGUGAGUGACGGUAAUGAGUAAAGAAGCACCGGCUAACUUCGUG
rnacentral:rRNA from 1 species